AUGGAGUAUCAGGCCAUCAUCUCUGCACUCGACGUCCGCACCGAGCCCAUCACCGUUGACGCACUCUUCUCGAUGGUGGCCAACUUCGAUCAACGUGCUGAGAUGUUCAGCAGCGCUGGUGGCUUCAAGUCAUCCGCGAACGCCACUUUCAGGGGGCGAUCGAGUGGCGGCCGAGGCGGCUACCGCAACCAGAAG
rnacentral:rRNA from 1 species